AUUGUGAGGAAAAGUUUGCAGUGCGUUAGGUUUGCUGUCUUGAACGUAAUGCUCAAAAUGAAUAAUAAAAAUACGUGACGUGUGGGUAUGAUUUUCUCUUGAACAAAAGGAAUGUGAAAAUGAAAGACAGAGAAGAGCCAGAGCAGAUGCGAUAAGAUUUGUGAAGGGGCUAUAUUCUCUCUCUCUCUCGCUCUCUCUCUCUCUCCCACUUCUUCUCCUCCCCUCCUCUUUUUAGCCCUCUGUGACUCUUCAGUUAACAAACAGUAUUUCCUACUGCUUCUGUCCCUGUCAUUGACUAUCUGCACGUGGACUUGUGGUUUUGCGAGAGAGAAAAACAUUUCCGAACUGGAUCGGGACAUAAAGAUAUCGACUCCCUGACGCAUAUGGUGCCAGUCACUUUCAUGAGUUCAGAAUCAACUAACCAGUGAUCGCUGGGUGCUGGGGGUUUAGUCUUUCUCUUUGUGUAAGUACCCUUUUUCCUCCAUUUUGAUUUCUUUCUAAAGGCUAUCCAGUUAGAUUUCUCUUUCACCCCUGGAGGCCUCCAUCCACACUGAACACCUGCAUUGAAUGAAAUGCACAAAUAAAUACUAAUAUAAUGGAUGCUACAGAAUAAGCUUAUAUUGUUACUCCACAUGGUCACUUUUACAAUUUAGACUCUACAUGACCAAAAGUAUGUGGAUACCUGCUCGUCAAACAUCUCAUUCCAAAAUCAUGGGCAUUAAUAUGGAGUUGGUAACCCUUUGCUGCUAUAACAACCUGCUAUAACAGCCUCCACUCUUCUGGGAAAACUUUCCACUAGAUGUUGGAACAUUGCUGCGGGGAUUUGCUGUAGCAUUAAGAUUUCCCUUCACUGGAAC
rnacentral:lncRNA from 13 species